rnacentral:rRNA from 1 species
UACGUAGGUGGCGAGCGUUGUCCGGAAUUACUGGGUGUAAAGCGCGCGUAGGCGGGAGGCCAAGUCCGCUGUGAAAUCGCCCGGCUCAACUGGGCGCGGUCGGUGGAAACUGGUCACCUGGAGGACGGUAGAGGCGAGUGGAAUUCCCGGUGUAGUGGUGAAAUGCGUAGAGAUCGGGAGGAACACCUGUGGCGAAGGCGGCCACCUGGACGGUUACUGACGCUGAGACGCGAAAGCGUGGGGAGCAAACAGG